rnacentral:rRNA from 1 species
GAUGAACGCUGGCGGCGUGCCUAAUACAUGCAAGUCGAGCGAACAGACGAGGAGCUUGCUCCUCUGACGUUAGCGGCGGACGGGUGAGUAACACGUGGAUAACCUACCUAUAAGACUGGGAUAACUUCGGGAAACCGGAGCUAAUACCGUAUAACAUGUUGAACCGCAUGGUUCAACAGUGAAAGACGGUCUUGCUGUCACUUAUAGAUGGAUCCGCGCCGCAUUAGCUAGUUGGUAAGGUAACGGCUUACCAAGGCAACGAUGCGUAGCCGACCUGAGAGAGUGAUCGGCCACACUGGAACUGAGACACGGUCCAGACUCCUACGGGACGCAGCAGUAGGGAAUGUUCCGCAAUGGGCGAAAGCCUGACGGAGCAACGCCGCGUGAGUGAAGAAGGUCUUCGGAUCGUAAAACUCUGUUACUAGGGAAGAACAAAUGUGUAAGUAACUAUGCACGUCUUGACGGUACCUAAUCAGAAAGCCACGGCUAACUACGUG